GCUUUUAAUGGCUUCUUGUGCUAACGAUUUUGUUUUGUUUUGUUCGCUAAAGUGCUGAUAUAAAUUGCAGAAAAAAUAACUUCCUCACUAAACAAGAGCAUCGAUGUAUUUCUAAUUGCAGCUUCAAGAUGACUUGCAUAAUAAUACAAGACAGCCUUUACGUAAUUGCUUGUGGACAACCUGCAAUUAAUUGACAUCAUUAUAUGGGCU
rnacentral:lncRNA from 1 species